CCUUUGUGUUAUUAACUGUAAUGGUCUCCUCUAUGCCCUCCCUUUGCAGUCAGCCUGAGCUGCAAUUUGGACUUUUCUGUGAGUUGGGAGAGACAGCCACAUCCCUGCUCCGAGCUACAGCAAAGGGCCAUGUGUGCACCAGGACUCUGUAACUCAUUUAAACUCUUAUGAGGAAAAGAAAGAAAAAACCCUGAAGCUCUAGAGACUUAGUACACUGCUACAAGUUUGUAGGAGGUUUGCAAUCGAGCAGCUAUGAACAGCACUGCCUUGGUGUUUGCCACCUCACAACACUGGUGAGACAGAAAAGCACAGAAGCAUUUGAGAGAAGUUUUUAAAGUUCUGGUGAAGACAGAUCAUUCCACCCCCUGGAUAAGAACUGCCACAAACACACAGAUGCAGCUCUGAGGAAUUUCUCCCAUUAUGGUUGAUUUCAACCUGAACUGUGAGUACAUGAACACUUGUUCUGGCAUACGGGAGUAGGCGGCACAGGAGCAAAACAAGAAGACAGAGAUGGGAAAGGAUAGAUUUUUUGGAAACAUACAUAAUUAAUGUCAGCUUCUGAAGCCAUGCUGUUAAAGUCAGCACCCCAAGACAGCGGUGCCCUGGAAUCAUCUCUCUUAGAGCUACUAGAUUCCUGGGUACAUGCCAUUUAAGAAUGUAAACACCCCGCAGACAUGAUGUAAACAUGUAAGGAUUUUAGUCAACACACUGUUUGGGAUUCCUCUCACAUUAGCAAGGACAGCACAGACAGCUACCAGCUCCAGGUGUUUAGAUCUUUUAAAAUAUGUAACACAUAUGCAGGAAUGCUGUUGGCACCACCACUGCUGGUUUAACCGGUAUCCAAAAAGAGGGUCAUCCCCACCAUACCUUGAGAAUACAAGGAUCUUCCAUGACAUUGUUGAGCUUGAGUCAUCAAAAAUCUAACAAAAGUAGACGAAAAAAGAAGGACUCACAUAAAGCUCCUGCAUCCAUUGAGUUCGCUUGAGCCCUAGAUAUUCCUGGAAGGCAUUCUGGAAUUCUUUCUGGCAGUAAAAUAUUCACUUAGAAGAUCAACAGGAAAGAUGAAAACAUAUGAAACAGAGUCCUGAGGUUAUUCAUACCUAAAGUAAAUUACACAAAUGGGACACCCAUCUUGGAAUCUUCUGGGUGACAAAACAUGGAUCACAAGUUAGUUUAUGAGAACUGAGAUGAAUAAAUUGUUCUCUUAUGACUAUUUAGUCUUUUGAACAUGACUAUUGCAAUCCAAAUUAUUCUGACGUGCACACUUUGGCUAUUGCUUGUCCAUACACCCAUCUCCUUUGAGCGCUGGCUGGUGCACCCGCCUUCACUACUUCUCAUGGAAACUGAACUAGAACUAAGUUAGUUUAUGAUCCUUUUUCAGAAUUCAUCAAGAGCAGCACGUAUUUUUUUAACUCUAAGAUGGAGAAGGCCAAGUAAAGCUAUAGGAAGCAGACAGUUUUCAAUUAUUCCAGGUAAUAAGAUCUGCCUAACACUUGUCAUCUGCACGGUGAUUCUACUACUCCCUAUCAGAUUACAUUUCAUUUACUAACAUUUAAACAAAAUUAAAUCAGACCCCUUGUGUCUUUACCUCUACAGCAGUUAUUCAAAUUACCCUGCUCACUUGACUACUGAAAAGGCAAACAUGUCAGUGCUGAGGAUAGAGAGACACAAUAGAGGGAAAUCUGGUAACCAAGCAAUGUAGUCAUGAGCUUCCAUCUGUGAGAAGGAACAGCAAAGUUCCUGUGCUAUGCCAGCACAGGGAGAAGUGGAAGAAAUAAAUGUCUUAUCCCUGAACGUAAAGAAAGAAUUAUAGAACUGGAAAUACUUUAUGGUAGAUUAACAAAUAUUACUAAAAGACAUCUAACUCUCAUGAGAGAAAAGCAGUACUAAUGCAAAGGAGCUGUGAGAGUUGGCAGAAAUGUUGCUUUUGUCUAGAUAGUUAAGAAAGAAGAAUAAAGGGUACAAGCAAGUACUCUGGAUUUAUAUUUAAUAUUUAGUCUGAAAAGGUUUCAGGUAUCACCGACAAGCAUCCCACUAGCAGACAUGUGUAUGACAGCCUUUUAAAAUGUAAAUCAAUUAUGUAUCACUUAUGGAACAUCUCAAGCCUAGGGAAUGCUAUUCAUACCAUUGAUGAUUUCAGCUAAUGGUAGAAAUGGAACCACGUACUUCAGGGAGCCAUAUGAGGCCAGCACAUAGAUAUUAGAGAGAGAAAGAAGUGGCAUAAUUAAAACCUCAUCUGCACAUUCUGGAUAACCAGAAACCAAAUCUCAGUAUAUCUGAAAAUAUCAAACAUACCAUCAUGGAAUCAUAUGACAAUACAGUUGUGAACAACCUCAGAAGGUUCAAUUUCCUGCCCAAAACAGUGUCAGGGAAACUGUGAGACCUGGUGGUUUAGGAGUUUAUCCAGCUCAGUCUUGAGAAUGUCCAAGGAAGGAGAAUGCAUGGCUUCUUUGGGCAAUCAUCAUGACUAUGUGAGAUUAGCAGAGAAAGGACUAUUGAAGCACUAAAUGGGAUUAAAUUUUUGUCCUAAACUGAAGAUGUAUUUGGUACCCCUUAGCCUCAAAGGAUGUAUAGCCCUAGACUGGGAUAAUUUACAAGGUCUGAAAACUGACAUUCACUUUCAGGUGAACCACAGCAGUCUUGACUUUUCAGGUGCCAGUACAACGAAAUCACUAUUUGAGAUUAUCACAAAUUCUCCCUCAGAACAGUCCUCUGAUUUGGAAUGUUCACUUCCCAUAAUGUCAGUAUUUCCUGGGGAUAAAAAUCAUCUUUUCCUGAGAAAAAGUAAAAAUGCCUUUAGGAAAUAUUUUCUCUCAAUAUUCAAUAUGACUUCAUGAAUUUAUUUUUUUCAUGAUGAAUUGGAUUAAAAACAAGGCCUAUGUUUUCAGCAGUACAGUUCUGUGUCUGAAUCUGCCCAUGGAUCUGUCAGGAUGUGGAAGUCUGGAGGCAAGUUUGGAUAGGAAGUCAUCUGAAUUGUGCAUUAUUGUCCUAACCUGACACAAAAACAUGGUGGUUUUUAAAAUCCUGGAUGUGCUUUCUUUCCCGCUAUUGACACAGCAUAUGAGUAAAUGAGUAAAUGAAUAUUUAUCUAGCUCAAAUCACAUAAAAAUUAAUGUCUGUCUAUAUCGAUUUUUUUUCAAGAGUUGUGAAACCAGACUUUCAAAAUCACCUGUGAGUAGCCUGAUUACUGAGCUAAAGGACAGAUUCUGAGUGAUUGCUCCAGGUGCUACAGCAUGUACAGAGGAACUCCUCUUUCAAAAAGCGUAUCUGGAUAGUUAGGCUGUGAAAAUAAGUAUAAAGUGUAAAAAUAGUUAAAAUUAUCAUAAUCAUCAACAGAAUUAAUGUCUCUACUGUGAUACAUCUAUCUUAAAUAACAAAGAACAAUAAAAAGAAAAAUUAAAAAUAAAUGAAUGUGUAAUAAUGAGAUAAUCUUGCUAUUUCUGAAUAUAUAUUUCAGUAUAGCAGUGCUUUUAUUACUCUUUACCAGCAGAAAAGUUGACUUUCAUCUGAAACUAUUAUUCAUGCUGAUGAAUAAAUUGAACUGGAUGGAAGACAAGAGCUAGAAAAACUAGACUGAAAAUAUACAUCUGACUUGUAUUGCAAUCAAAUAGACAUAAUCGCAGAGAUGGGAAAUACAGGAGAGAUUAUUUAAAUAAAUUCUGUGUUAGGCAGCAGAAGACUUUCACAAAACAACAUACGUCAUCGAUUAUCUCUCUCUCUCAUCACAGAUCAGGAGCAAAACGCUCACUUGCCAAAGAACUGCCAUUCAUAUUGGCUUCAGUAGGGUUAUUAAAUACAGUAUUUAGCACUGAUGAAAAAUCUCCAGAUUCAAUUGCAGCUGUAUCAAUACAACUCUGGAGACGUUAGCUCCAGACAGGCACCUGGGUUUGGAAAUGUGGCCCAUAUUACAUGUAUUUUAGCUGCACAGACAGCAGAUCAGCUGACUACCUUUGCAGAGGAAAAUGCUGUUUCAGGAUAUGGGUAUCUCUUCAAAUGAAUUAGACAAAUGCUGAUUUUUUUCAUAUAAUUAGACAUGAUCUCAUGCUAUGAUAUUAUGAAAGAAGAGUGGAAAUAUUGAAAAAGAAAUAUGGGAACUGGAUAUUUGCAGAUUAUUUUUGACAGCAAUGUGAACAAAAGCACUGGUAAGUACAGUGUCAGGAAGAAUUAGUCUACAUGAUUCUGGACUCUACACAGUUUCAGAAAAAUAUUAUUACUGUGAGAAUAACACUGAAAAAAUAAAUGUGGAAAAAUACAGUUGUAGGGAGAAAAUAUACAUGCCAGGUGGAGAAAGCUUCGCCUACAGAACUGAGUGUUAGAAUAUGCUAAUAAUAAAAUCGUUAAUGACUAAGUGAGCACAGUGUAGAAACUGCAGUUACCUUAUUUAGAUGAAGUGACUGUGUAAAGUAUGUUAACAGAAUGCAGAAAGAGCAAAGAAGGUAUGGAAUACUAAAAAUGAAAAACCAAACUCUGAUUGCAGGGGCUUUCUAAUUAACAUAGAAACACAAUAUACUACUACUGAGAUAUUUAGGAAAAAUAAAUUCGCCUUCAUCAAGACUGUAUGGAACCAUUGACACUAAAGCCUUGUACUAUUUUGGUGCGGUUUAUUUCUUAUGCAUGAAAUAGGAAUUUGCUAUGCUGUGUUCUGGGACACAUAUCCAAAUUUCUCAAGCUUACUGCACUCUGACUGAGGUCUACAGGGUCUUUGGGGAUAUAUAACAAACAUCCUUACGAAUAGCAAAAACAUUCUCAAGCUGGAAUAAACAUCUGAAACUGUA